rnacentral:rRNA from 2 species
AGAAUCUUCGGAUUUUAGAGAGCGGCGUACGGGUGCGUAACACGUGUGCAACCUACCUUUAUCAGGAGAAUAGCCUUUCGAAAGGAAGAUUAAUACUCCAUAAUAUAUUAGAUGGCAUCAUUUAAUAUUGAAAACUCCGGUGGAUAGAGAUGGGCACGCGCAAGAUUAGAUAGUUGGUGAGGUAACGGCUCACCAAGUCUGUGAUCUUUAGGGGUCCUGAGAGGGAGAUCCCCCACACUGGUACUGAGACACGGACCAGACUCCUACGGGAGGCAGCAGUGAGGAAUAUUGGACAAUGGGUGAGAGCCUGAUCCAGCCAUCCCGCGUGAAGGAUGACGGUCCUACGGAUUGUAAACUUCUUUUGUACAGGGAUAAACCCAGAUACGUGUAUCUGGCUGAAGGUACUGUACGAAUAAGCACCGGCUAACUCCGUGCCAGCAGCCGCGGUAAUACGGAGGGUGCAAGCGUUAUCCGGAUUUAUUGGGUUUAAAGGGUCCGCAGGCGGACCGAUAAGUCAGUGGUGAAAUCUCAUAGCUUAACUAUGAAACUGCCAUUGAUACUGUUGGUCUUGAGUAAAUUAGAGGUAGCUGGAAUAAGUAGUGUAGCGGUGAAAUGCAUAGAUAUUACUUAGAACACCAAUUGCGAAGGCAGGUUACCAUGAUUUAACUGACGCUGAGGGACGAAAGCGUGGGGAGCGAACAGGAUUAGAUACCCUGGUAGUCCACGCCGUAAACGAUGCUAACUCGUUUUUGGGGCGCAAGCCUCAGAGACCAAGCGAAAGUGAUAAGUUAGCCACCUGGGGAGUACGUUCGCAAGAAUGAAACUCAAAGGAAUUGACGGGGGCCCGCACAAGCGGUGGAUUAUGUGGUUUAAUUCGAUGAUACGCGAGGAACCUUACCAAGACUUAAAUGGGAAAUGACAGGUUUAGAAAUAGAUCCUUCUUCGGACAUUUUUCAAGGUGCUGCAUGGUUGU